UGGGGAAUAUUGGACAAUGGGCGAAAGCCUGAUCCAGCCAUGCCGCGUGUGUGAAGAAGGUCUUCGGAUUGUAAAGCACUUUAAGUUGGGAGGAAGGGUUGUAGAUUAAUACUCUGCAAUUUUGACGUUACCGACAGAAUAAGCACCGGCUAACUCUGUGCCAGCAGCCGCGGUAAUACAGAGGGUGCAAGCGUUAAUCGGAAUUACUGGGCGUAAAGCGCGCGUAGGUGGUUUGUUAAGUUGGAUGUGAAAGCCCCGGGCUCAACCUGGGAACUGCAUCCAAAACUGGCAAGCUAGAGUACGGUAGAGGGUGGUGGAAUUUCCUGUGUAGCGGUGAAAUGCGUAGAUAUAGGAAGGAACACCAGUGGCGAAGGCGACCACCUGGACUGAUACUGACACUGAGGUGCGAAAGCGUGGGGAGCAAACAGGAUUAGAUACCCCUGUAGUCCCUGAGCGGGCUGGCAAGGCGCAU
rnacentral:rRNA from 1 species